rnacentral:rRNA from 1 species
CAGUCGCCGCGGGAAAACCGAGGAUGCAAGCGUUAUCCGGAAUGAUUGGGCGUAAAGCGUCUGUAGGUGGCUUUUCAAGUCCGCCGUCAAAUCCCCGGGCUCAACCUGGGAAUGGCGCUUGUGACUGCAAAGCUAGAGUGCGGCAGAGGGGGAUGGAAUUCCGCGUGUAGCAAUGAAAUGCGUAGAUAUGCGGAGGAACACCGAUGGCGAAGGCAAUCCCCUGGGCCUGCACUGACGCUCAUGCACGAAAGCGUGGGGAGCAAACAGGAUUAGAUACCCCUGUAGUCCCUGUCUCUUAUAC